rnacentral:rRNA from 1 species
UACGAAGGGGGCUAGCGUUGUUCGGAAUUACUGGGCGUAAAGGGCGCGUAGGCGGCUGUGCAAGUCAGGUGUGAAAGCCCUGGGCUCAACCCAGGAUGUGCACUUGAUACUGCACGGCUAGAGUGUCGGAGAGGAUGGUGGGAUUCCCAGUGUAGAGGUGAAAUUCGUAGAUAUUGGGAAGAACACCAGUGGCGAAGGCGGCUCACUGGACCGGUAUUGACGCUGAGGUGCGAAAGCGUGGGGAGCAAACAGG